GCUCUACAGGGAACACUUAGGGGACUUCUUCAAAAAUAUCUUCGAAGAACUCAACAAGUUUGGUGAGAUCAAGAGCCUCAAUGUUUGGGAUAGCCUCGCUGACCACGUGAUUGGAUGUCCAGUUCGCGGAGUAGCAGCAGGCACUGCUACAUUGCAAGCUCUACAACCCUCGAUUAUUGUUGAUUUUUCUCCUAUUACUGAUUUCCGUGAAGCCACGUGCAAGCAAAUUUGAGGAGAAUUGGAGCUUACUGUAAUUUCAUGCAUGUGAAGUUGAUUGGGAGAGAGUUAAGAGGAAACAAUUCAGAAGGCACUGUUGAUAUAGAGGUAACAGGAGCCGGAGUCAGAGCGUGAGUCCAAGACACAGUACAGUAGGAAUAGUUGUAGGGGUGUGGACAGGCACGACAGUUAUGACAGAGAUCCCAGUUAGGGAAGGCAGGAAAGAACAAUGGAACAGAGAGGG
rnacentral:misc_RNA from 1 species